UACAGAGGUCCCGAGCGUUGUUCGGAUUCACUGGGCGUAAAGGGUGCGUAGGUGGCCUGACAAGUUUGAUGUGAAAGCUCAGGGCUUAACCCUGAAAUGGCAUUGAAUACUGUCGGGCUGGAGGUUUGGAGGGGGGACUGGAAUUCUCGGUGUAGCAGUGAAAUGCGUAGAUAUCGAGAGGAACACCAGUGGCGAAGGCGAGUCCCUGGACAAUACCUGACACUGAGGCACGAAAGCCAGGGGAGCAAACGGG
rnacentral:rRNA from 1 species